rnacentral:rRNA from 1 species
UACGGAAGGCAGCAGUGAGGAAUAUUGGUCAAUGGGUGCAAGCCUGAACCAGCCAUCCCGCGUGAAGGACGACUGCCCUAUGGGUUGUAAACUUCUUUUGUAUAGGGAUAAACCUACCCUCGUGAGGGUAGCUGAAGGUACUAUACGAAUAAGCACCGGCUAACUCCGUGCCAGCAGCCGCGGUAAUACGGAGGGUGCAAGCGUUAUCCGGAUUUAUUGGGUUUAAAGGGUCCGUAGGCGGACUUAUAAGUCAGUGGUGAAAGCCUGUCGCUUAACGAUAGAACUGCCAUUGAUACUGUAAGUCUUGAGUAUAUUUUGAGGUAGCUGGAAUAAGUAGUGUAGCGGUGAAAUGCAUAGAUAUUACUUAGAACACCAAUUGCGAAGGCAGGUUACCAAGAUAUAACUGACGCUGAGGGCGAAAGCGUGGGGAGCGAACAGGGAUUAGAUACC